rnacentral:rRNA from 1 species
GACGAACGCUGGCGGCGUGCUUAACACAUGCAAGUCGAACGGAAGAGCCCUGCUUGUGUCGGGAGCCCGAGUGGCGAACGGGUGUGUAACCCGGGAGUAACCUGCCCUGGACGUGGGGAUGACUGCAGACAGCUGGGGCUAAUACCUACGAGGAGCUCCUGCUGCAUGGUGGGGGUUGGAAAUCUUCGGCGGAUGGGGAUGGAGUCGCGGCUUAUCAGCUUGUUGGUGGGGUAGUGGCUUACCAAGGCUUUGACGGGUAGCCGGACUGAGAGGGUGACCGGCGACAUUGGGACCUAGAGAAGGCAGAGACGCCGACGGGAGGAAGCAGUGGGGAAUACUGCACAAGGGGCGGAGGCCUUGUGAAGCAACGCCGCGUGCUGUAUGACGGCCUUCGGUGUGUAAACGGCUUUUGCCUUUGAAGCAGCGUGAGUGACGGUAAUGGGUAGAGAAGGCACGGCUAACUACGUG